AACUUCUGGUCCCCUGCCAUCUGUGCUCAGGCAGAGCAGAAAUCUCUCCCUACUGCCCCACCACUUCUUGCUCCAGGACUGACCUCUUCUUGGGAUAACUGCCAGCAGGGACAUUUACUUAUUUUAAAGAAGUCCCCAUCUUUACCACUGGAUUGAGAUUUGCCACCAUAAUGUUAAGACAGUUGCAAAGGAGUACAACACUGGCAUAUUUCCAAAGUCUGGGAUAUUCAUUCUUAUUCUUGGUUAACGUGAUGCAUACCCACACCAAUGCACAUAUACCUUUUGAUUUUCCCAAAAUUGGAUCACAAUUUUGGAUUCCCAAAAUUGGAGGAGUGCUAUGGACUCCUAGUGAUCCAAUAUCGAAAAAAUGGAUCCUGUUUGUGUACCCGCAAAAUGCAUAUGUUGAAGCCCUGGUUCCCGAUGUGAUAGUAUUUGGAGGAGGGCCUUUGGGAGCUGAUUAGAUUUAGACGAGGUCAUGAGAGUGAAGCCCCAUGAUGGGAUUUGUGCCCUUCCAAGGAGAUGAAGGAACCAGCACGCUCUCUUUCUGACAGGUGAGUAUAUGGUAAGAAGGCAGCUGUCUGUGAACCAGAAGGAGGGCCCUCACCAAGAAGUGACCAUGCUGGCACCCUGAUCUUGGACUUCUGGCAUCUGGAACUUGGUGUUUACUAUAAUAAAAUAAUAUGAUGGUGAAGAAUUUGGCCCACAAGAAACACUUAUUCAAGCCUACAAUUUUCCCUGGGCAAGGGAAGGUCACCGUGUCUAUGUCCCAGCAAAUUCUGAAGACACACAUCAAGCUCCUGCAAGCUUGGCUACUGUGGCAGCCAGAGAUCUGGCUAGUUUAAAGAUGAAAACUGCAGCAGAUGAGAAAGAAAAAUACAACGUGAAAAUUUGGCUGAAUUAAAAACACUAAACAGUUUUCAGGAAAGCUGAGUGUCAGAGAGAAACAGACACUGGAGGAAAAGAAAAAAAGAGGACACAAAAACUGUCCUGGCCGAAGGGGUCAUGACCACACAUUAUCCUCCGAUGACGGCUUCUGAUUUUUUCUUCUGCUUGAUCAAUUCUACAAAGACAAAAAAGUAUAAUAAAAAAGUUUUAAAUUUCAAA